CUUAUUGAAUUAAAUGUCUUGUAUUUAUAAGUUUAAAUAUUUCAAGUAUUGCUGAUUUAUCCUCAAACAUAUAAAUCCUAUCCUUCAAGCAUCCUAUGUUAAUCUUUCAUUUUGCUACUAUUAACAUAUUAACUAAAUGUUCCUCUCUAGAAGUAUAAAACUUGCAUAUUUUAUAAAGCAAAAUGAUUGUUGUUUUUUAUGAAAAAUAUCGACUUUUAAUGGUAAUAAAGUCAUUAGAGACAAGCAAUCUCGGGGGUUGUAAAGUGGAUCGAUCUGAAGUGGCGUCCACUAUUAAAUUAGAAAAUCAUUUGAAGCCGAUUUGAAGAUUCAGAGGCUCUCAAAGUUCUAGUCCAACCUUAAUAUCAUGUGUCGGAAAACCGAGAAUAAAUAGUAACUUAAAAGAACACUUUUACUCGUGAGCGAUUUCAGCUAGCUUUACAACGAUGUGAGAGGUUUGCUCUGUUUGUUUUCUUAUAAUUUUGUUCGUCUAUGUGCUUCGCAUUUCAAUGUUAUUAAUAAAAAUAUCUUUUUUAAUUUAUAAAAUCGAAUAAAGUUUCUUAUGAGAGAUUUAGGUGCUUGUGAUUUAUAAAAAUUCUCUAAGAAAAUAGCACAAUCCCUGAUAUUGGAAAGAAAACACUCAUCCAAGAAAAAAAGGUAAGAUCUUUUAUUUAAACAUAUUACCUUUCCAAUGACAUAAUACCUUUCCAAUAAUACCACAUAAUACCUUUUCCAAUGAUGAAAAUUAUCUUCUCGAGAAUUGGAACAUCAUGCAUGCAAAGUUGAUACUUACCGACCAUAAGGUGUCCCGCAGUGGACUGGUUGGACAGACACAGUUCCGAGUAGAACACUCAUCAGCCUGCUUAGAGACCGAGGAUGAGCGAUAUCAUUCCUCGUUAAACUGUUCUACUGUAAAUUGCUCGACUUCGGGCUUAGGCCGUCGGGUUAACGAAGCGAAGGUACCAUCCCCUCUGCAGAGAAUCAAAAUUGUGAAGGCAUGUCUUGCUGAUCAUUCUCAGAGAUGUUUCCCAGACCGUCGCCAAUAGCCCAUAAAUAAACUAUAACAACACCAAUAAGGUUUAACGUAUCCCCCUAUUAAAGUAACAGAAAGCUUAAUCUAGACUACGAUUGAACACUAGGAUUUGGAUACAUGAUUUUUAUAAAUUAUGAUCGAAACACUUCUGUAUUCAAUGUGUAUCAUUAUCAUUAAUGAUCGCGAUAUUAUUGUAUUUGAUGCACCUGUGUAUAUUUCGAGUAAUCAGUGAAAAACAGAAACAAGCGUUAUUUCUACGAGAUGGUGAUUUUGGAUUCAUAAAUCCUAUAGCAGAAAAGUAUUGACAAUUCAUGUGUAUUGCUGUCAUAUGUAUUACGGUGAAUUAGUUUACGGUGUCGCAUACAUAUCGGUGUUGUGUUUCUAAUUUAUACGUACCUGUUUCUGUGUGUAUGCAUCUGUGUCAUAUUUAUUUUUGAUUUAUGGUCAACGUUUUUAUAUUUUUUCAAUGUCCUCAUGGAUAUUUCUUAAAUACUUAGGAACUCAAGCUGUGUUCUCGAUUUCCCAUUAGUUUUUGAGUUCGACAUAGUUUUGAAGCUGACAUUGAAAAAUGAGCAGAACUCAAUCUUAUUCUUAUGUGGACCUAAAUAUGAUCACAUUCAUAAAUUCGUUCGUUUUACCUUUUUCUUUUAAUCUUUAAGUGGGUAUUUGUACUUCAAGAAGUCGCACAUGACGUCAUCGCCAGCUAAUCUUUAUCAUCAAAAUGGCAUAUGAAAGUCAAGCUAAGUUUCUCUACAUGAGUUAGAAUGUUAAUUAAAUAUAGAGCAGUAUCGCACAUCGAAUUCAUUGAAAAAUCAUUCUUUCUCGUCUACUUCUUUUACUUAACUUAGAUUUAUUACUUGUUUAUGUAUUUUAUUGCAACCGUAAUAUAUUUUUGUUUUAUGUACCUGGCAACUAUGAUGUAUAAUUAAUUUGUUUAUGUCGCAGAUGUCGUGUUUUGUCUCUGUGUAAAUAUAUAGUGAAAGAAUUGGAAUAUUUGGGCCAGAAUCUUUGUGAUAACAUUUAGAAUAUGUCAUAUGACUAUAGUCAUAUGACUAUAGUCAUUUAGAAUAUGACUUUGCUUACUCGAAAUAAAAUGAGACAGUUGCUAACGUAAACAAAUGGCACGAUUCAACAACCAAGCACACAACGUCACUUGCAGGCGAUGAUUUUUUUGCGAACUCCUACAUGGUUGCAGUCGACAAUAAUGUCAUAAUUGAGGAAAUUCAAAGUGGCAAAAAUGUUUGCUGCAUACUACAUUUUAAGCAUUGAGUAUGCUGAGAUGGCUUGUGGAACCCUGGAGUUUAUUCAAAGGUGUUUCCUAAAGGUGAACCCCGAUAAAGGAUCGAAGGCUUUAAUGGAUAGUAAAGAACGUA